rnacentral:rRNA from 1 species
UACACUCCUGCGGGAGGCAGCAGUGGGGAAUUUUGGACAAUGGGCGAAAGCCUGAUCCAGCCAUGCCGCGUGCAGGAUGAAGGCCUUCGGGUUGUAAACUGCUUUUGUACGGAACGAAACGGCCUUUUCUAAUAAAGAGGGCUAAUGACGGUACCGUCAGAAUAAGCACCGGCUAACUACGUGCCAGCAGCCGCGGUAAUACGAAGGGUGCAAGCGUUAAUCGGAAUUACUGGGCGUAAAGCGUGCGCAGGCGGUUAUGUAAGACAGUUGUGAAAUCCCCGGGCUCAACCUGGGAACUGCAUCUGUGACUGCAUAGCUAGAGUACGGUAGAGGGGGAUGGAAUUCCGCGUGUAGCAGUGAAAUGCGUAGAUAUGCGGAGGAACACCGAUGGCGAAGGCAAUCCCCUGGACCUGUACUGACGCUCAUGCACGAAAGCGUGGGGAGCAAACAGGAUUAGAUACCCCUGUAGUCCCAUGAU